rnacentral:rRNA from 1 species
GACGAACGCUGGCGGCGUGCCUAAUACAUGCAAGUCGAGCGGGCCUCCGGAGGUGCUUGCACCUCCGGAAGGCCAGCGGCGGACGGGUGAGUAACACGUGGGCAACCUGCCUUUGAGGCCGGGAUAACACCGGGAAACCGGCGCUAAUACCGGAUGCGUCCCCUUUCGCGCCUGCGAGAGGGGAGAAAGACGGUCUUUAAGGCCGUCGCUCAAAGAGGGGCCCGCGGCGCAUUAGCUGGUUGGUGGGGUAAGGGCCUACCAGGGCGAAGAUGCGUUGCCGACCUGAGGGGGUGAUCGGCCACACUGGGACUGAGACACGGCCCAGACUCCUGCGGGAGGCAGCAGUAGGGAAUCAUCCGCAAUGGGCGAAAGCCUGACGGUGCAACGCCGCGUGAGUGAGGAAGGUUCUCGGAUCGUAAAGCUCUGUUGUGAGGGAAGAACAGCUUCCGGAGGAAAUGCCGGAGGUUUGCCGGUACCUCACCAGAAAGCCCCGGCUAACUACGUGCCAGCCGCCGCUGUAACAC